CUACGGGAUGCUGCAGUGGGGGAUAUUGCACAAUGGGCGAAAGCCUGAUGCAGCAACGCCGCGUGAAGGAAGACGGUUUUCGGAUUGUAAACUUCUGUCAGCUGGGAAGAAAAUGACGGUACCAGACUAAGAAGCCCCGGCUAACUAUGUGCCAGCAGCCGCGGUAAUACAUAGGGGGCAAGCGUUAUCCGGAAUUACUGGGUGUAAAGGGUACGUAGGCGGCUGAUCAAGUCAGAUGUGAAAGCCCGGAGCUCAACUCCGGGAUUGCAUUUGAAACUGGUCGGCUAGAGUGCAGGAGAGGAAAGUGGAAUUCCUAGUGUAGCGGUGAAAUGCGUAGAUAUUAGGAAGAACACCAGUGGCGAAGGCGGCUUUCUGGACUGUAACUGACGCUGAGGUACGAAAGCGUGGGGAGCGAACAGGAUUAGAUACCCCGGUAGUC
rnacentral:rRNA from 1 species